AGUCGAGCGGACUUGUUAGAAGCUUGCUUCUAACANGUUAGCGGNGGACGGGUGAGUAACACGUUGGGUAACCUGCCUGUAAGAUGGGGAUAACUCCGGGAAACCGGAGCUAAUACCGAAUAACACUUUCGCUCGCAUGAGCGGAUGUUAAAAGACGGUUUCGGCUGUCACUUACAGAUGGACCCGCGGCGCAUUAGCUAGUUGGUGAGGUAACGGCUCACCAAGGCGACGAUGCGUAGCCGACCUGAGAGGGUGAUCGGCCAUACUGGGACUGAGACACGGCCCAGACUNAUACGGGAGGCAGCAGUAGGGAAUCUUCCGCAAUGGACGAAAGUCUGACGGAGCAACGCCGCGUGAGUGAUGAAGGUUUUCGGAUCGUAAAACU
rnacentral:rRNA from 1 species